rnacentral:rRNA from 1 species
UACGUAGGAGGCGAGCGUUGUCCGGAGUUACUGGGCGUAAAGGGUGCGCAGGCGGCGGUUCGCGUGGCGAGAUGAAUCUCCUGGCUUACCUGGGAGGAUGGUCGCCAGACGGGGAUCGCUUGAGGGUCGGAGAGGGGCGGUGGAAUUCCGGGGUGGAGCGGGUGAAAUGCGUAGAGAUCCGGAGGAACACCGACGGCGUAGGCAGCGCCCGUGGACGA